rnacentral:rRNA from 1 species
CCUACGGGUGGCAGCAGUGGGGAAUAUUGGACAAUGGGCGAAAGCCUGAUCCAGCCAUGCCGCGUGUGUGAAGAAGGCCUUCGGGUUGUAAAGCACUUUCAGUGGGGAAGAAAGCCUUGGGGCUAAUACCCUCGAGGAAGGACAUCACCCACAGAAGAAGCACCGGCUAACUCCGUGCCAGCAGCCGCGGUAAUACGGAGGGUGCGAGCGUUAAUCGGAAUUACUGGGCGUAAAGCGCGCGUAGGCGGUCUGAUAAGCCGGUUGUGAAAGCCCCGGGCUCAACCUGGGUACGGCAUCCGGAACUGUCAGGCUAGAGUGCAGGAGAGGAAGGUAGAAUUCCCGGUGUAGCGGUGAAAUGCGUAGAGAUCGGGAGGAAUACCAGUGGCGAAGGCGGCCUUCUGGACUGACACUGACGCUGAGGUGCGAAAGCGUGGGUAGCAAACAGGAUUAGAUACCCCAGUAGUC